GAUGACCUGCCCUUCAGCGGGGAAUAACCCGGGGAAACUCGGGCUAAUACCGCAUACGACCGAGAGGUGAAAGGGGGCCGCAAGGCUCUCACUGAAGGAGGGGUCCGCGUCCGAUUAGCUAGUUGGUAGGGUAAUGGCCUACCAAGGCGACGAUCGGUAGCCGGCCUGAGAGGGUGAUCGGCCACACUGGAGCUGACACACGGUCCAGACUCCUACAGGAGGCACCAGUGGGGAAUUUUGCGCAAUGGGCGGAAGCCUGACGCAGCAACGCCGCGUGGAGGAUGAAGGUCUUUGGAUUGUAAACUCCUGUCAGCAGGGAAAAAGGGACUGGACCUCAUACGUCUGGAACUUGAUUGUACCUGCAGAGGAAGCCCCGGCUAACUCUGUGCCACCAGCCGCGGUAAUACAGAGGGGGCGAGCGUUAUUCGGAAUUAUUGGGCGUAAAGGGCGCGUAGGCGGCUUUGCAAGUGACGGGUGAAUGCCCUCGGCUUAACCGAGGAACUGCCUGUCACACUGUGAGGCUUGAGACCGGGAGAGGUGAGUGGACUUCCCAGUGUAGCGGUGAUAUGCGUAUAUAUUGGGAGGAACUCCAUUGGCGAAGGCGGCUCACUGGACCGGAACUGA
rnacentral:rRNA from 1 species